AACAGGAUUAGAUACCCUGGUAGUCCAUGCCGUAAACGAUGAGUGCUAGGUGUUGGAGGGUUUCCGCCCUUCAGUGCCGGAGCUAACGCAUUAAGCACUCCGCCUGGGGAGUACGACCGCAAGGUUGAAACUCAAAGGAAUUGACGGGGGCCCGCACAAGCGGUGGAGCAUGUGGUUUAAUUCGAAGCUACGCGAAGAACCUUACCAGGUCUUGACAUCUUGCGCUAACCUAAGAGAUUAGGCGUUCCCUUCGGGGACGCAAUGACAGGUGGUGCAUGGUCGUCGUCAGCUCGUGUCGUGAGAUGUUGGGUUAAGUCCCGCAACGAGCGCAACCCUUGUUACUAGUUGCCAGCAUUCAGUUGGGCACUCUAGUGAGACUGCCGGUGACAAACCGGAGGAAGGUGGGGAUGACGUCAGAUCAUCAUGCCCCUUAUGACCUGGGCUACACACGUGCUACAAUGGUCGGUACAACGAGUCGCUAACCCGCGAGGGCAAGCUAAUCUCUUAAAGCCGAUCUCAGUUCGGACUGUAGGCUGCAACUCGCCUACACGAAGUCGGAAUCGCUAGUAAUCGCGGAUCAGCAUGCCGCGGUGAAUACGUUCCCGGGCCUUGUACACACCGCCCGUCACACCAUGGAAGUUUGUAACGCCCAAAGUCGGUGGCCUAACCAUUUGGAGGGAGCCGCCUAAGGCGGGACAGAUGGCUGGGGUGAAGUCGUAACAAGGUAACC
rnacentral:rRNA from 1 species